CGCUGGGAUCCCUUCGGGGUGACCUUGGCGCUGACGUUAGGCGGACGGGUGAGUAAUGCUUAGGAAUCUGCCCAUUAGCGGGGGACAACUCGGGGAAACUCGAGCUAAUACCGCAUACGCCCUACGGGGGAAAGCAGGGGAUCUUCGGACCUUGCACUAAUGGAUGAGCCUAAGUCGGAUUAGCUAGUUGGUAGGUAAAAGCUUACCAAGGCGACGAUCCGUAGCUGGUCUGAGAGGACGAUCAGCCACACUGGGACUGAGACACGGCCCAGACUCCUACGGGAGGCAGCAGUGGGGAAUAUUGGACAAUGGGCGCAAGCCUGAUCCAGCAAUGCCGCGUGUGUGAAGAAGGCCUGCGGGUUGUAAAGCACUUUCAGUAGAGAAGAAAAGCCUAGGGAUAAUACCCCUGGGUCUUGACGUUACCUACAGAAGAAGCUCCGGCUAACUCCGUGCCAGCAGCCGCGGUAAUACGGAGGAGCGAGCGUUAAUCGGAAUUAUUGGGCGUAAAGCGCGCGUAGGCGGCCAAGCAAGUUGGAUGUGAAAGCCCUGGGCUCAACCUGGGAAUGGCAUUCGAUACUGCCUGACUAGAGUAUGGUAGAGGGAAGUGGAAUUUCCGGUGUAGCGGUGAAAUGCGUAGAGAUUGGAAGGAACAUCAGUGGCGAAGGCGGCCACCUGGACAGAUACUGACGCUGAGGAACGAAAGCGUGGGAGCGAACAGGAUUAGAUACCCUGGUAGUCCACGCCGUAAACGAUGUCAACUAGCCGUUUGUGGACUUGAUCCGUGAGUGGCGCAGCUAACGCACUAAGUUGACCGCCUGGGGAGUACGGCCGCAAGGUUAAAACUCAAAUGAAUUGACGGGGGCCCGCACAAGCGGUGGAGCAUGUGGUUUAAUUCGAUGCAACGCGAAGAACCUUACCAUCCCUUGACAUCCACAGAAACCAGUAGAGAUACAGGUGUGCCUUCGGGACGGAGUGACAGGUGCUGCAUGGCUGUCGUCAGCUCGUGUUGUGAAAUGUUGGGUUAAGUCCCGCAACGAGCGCAACCCCUAUCCUUAUUUGCCAGCGCGUUAUGGCGGGAACUCUAAGGAGACUGCCGGUGAUAAACCGGAGGAAGGUGGGGACGACGUCAAGUCAUCAUGGCCCUUACGGGAUGGGCUACACACGUGCUACAAUGGCGUAUACAGUGUGCUGCAAUACCGCGAGGUGGAGCGAAUCACACAAGCUUGUCGUAGUCCGGAUUGGAGUCUGCAACUCGACUCCAUGAAGUCGGAAUCGCUAGUAAUCGUAGAUCAGAAUGCUACGGUGAAUACGUUCCCGGGCCUUGUACACACCGCCCGUCACACCAUGGGAGUGGGAUGCAAAAGUGGUGACUAGUUUAUCCUUUCGGGGAGGACGGUCACCACUUUGUGUUUCAUGACUGGGGUGAAGUCGUAACAAGGUAACC
rnacentral:rRNA from 1 species